UGCCUGUCACGGAGGAGCAAGGAGUACGCUUGGAGAGGAAGAGGCAAUGGGUAGCUAUUUAAAUUCAUUGUAAACUGAGAAAACUGUAAACAGGGAUGACGCUGCUUAUGACAUAGUCACAUACACAGUGUCACAUAGUUAAGGGGAUCAGCCACAUUGAGUGUGGAUCUCUCCUCCUCUCGGAGCAACGUUCCUAUUGACAUUCGGAGAGGCACGCUGCCCCCAGAUGCUCAUUUUCAAACACAGGACGUGAGCAGUUUCACAAAUAUCCACCAGAUGGUACCUUCCUACCAGAAAUUAGGUUUCAGGUUGUGAAAAUCCAAAUUGUUUUUCCAUUCCACGGACAAGCUAUAGAAUUAGAUGCCUAUCCUGGCUACGGUCAGAGGAAAGAAAAUGGGUGAGAACCAAUUCCAGGGAACGACCCACGGAGUUUUUAUUCUCAAGAAUACCAAACAGAACUUGCAGGGUCCUUUGUGUGGUGGAGGGAGGCAGCUGCUGUGGAUGAGUCAUGGAAAGGCCAUGUGCAAGGGAAAGACCUUGAGGUUAUCUCCGGAGAGGGGUUGGUUGUAAACAUCCUCAAUGGCACCUUUGUUUUAUCCCACUAGUUGCCAAAUACCUGUGAUUCUGCACAGCGCUCCUGGAAUGCUCAGAAAUUAUGACUGGUUACUCUGUCAAAGAAAGUCUUUGUUGUAGAAACUUCCUCAUUUGUUCAGGCCUUUGGGUUCUAAGCCCUGAGCCAUAGUCUCCCCCGGUUGUUUGCCUGUGUGGGCUAGGGAGGGUGACUGAUGUUCACCGUGGGGUGACCACCUUGUCCUGGUUUGGCAGCUGCCUUCCUGCCUUUAGCAGUGACAGUAAAGCAAACCCAGGCGGUUGGUCAUCUCGGUGCACUGAGCUGUACACACCAGGGACAGUGCUGGAUCCUCACGCAGGUUCAAUGAGCUGGGCGAUUUGAGGUGGUAGAUGCCGUCUUCACAUGAUUAAUCAUUUUGUUCUUGGCAUUUUCCUAGUAGGUCUCCCUGCUUCCUUUUGCCAGAAAAGGUAAAGUUCUGGAGAAAGAGGUUUUUUCUUGGCUUUUGAGUUCAGGCCUUACAGAGGUAAAACCGAGUAGAUGUGGGAGAACAUGUGGUAAACAGAUACAACUUUCCCGGGAUGGGGAGAGAAAAAUAGUGAAACUCCAUCUCCACUAAAAAUACAAAAACUAGCCCGGCGUGGUGGCACGCGCCUGUAAUCCCAACUACUUGGGAGGCUGCGGCAGGUGAAUCACUUGAAGCCGGGAGGUGAAGGCCGCAGUAACGCUGUUCCCUGCAUUGGAUGAAGUGCUCCCCACCAAACUCUCUCACCGGAGAGGGUGGGAUCUGCGGGCUCCCUGGGUGGCUUGAUUUCGACACCCUGUGGGCUGCCUUCCACUCUGGUACUUUCCUCUGCCUGCUGAUGCUUGAAAUUCCUUGAACCGGCCACACACACCUGCUUUCUGGAAUCAGAACACUGGAAAGGCUUCCUGGGACGGGAGAAGAGUGAUUUACAUUCCUGCCGAGGUGUAAAGCUGCGGAUGGCAGGUUCUCUCCUGAGAACCGGCUUCAACUAGGAGGAGGAGGUUGGAAGCAGGACCCCGAGCUGACCUGUUGACCAGGAGAGGAGUAAGCAGAAGGGAGGCAGGAGCGGGCGGAGGAGAGAAGGCCGGGGAGCCGGGAUGGGGGUCACCGCCCCCGGGGAGCCGGGAUGGGGGUCACCGCCCCCGGGGAGCCCGGAUGGGGGUCACCGCCCCCGCCCCCGUGAUGCCGAGCUGAAAAAGACAGUCUCCAGGUAGGAUAAUCCGUCACACUAGAUGCAUAUAGCUUCAUGCAAGAAGAGCGACUGUUGCGCUGUCUUCUACCCCCUUUGGCCGCGAUCCCGUGACAAUGCCGGCAUCCGGGCACCAACUGGCUUUUGCGAACCGCUCUCCGCUCCCCGCCCGGAUUCCGAAGCCCGGAGCCGUUUACAGUUUGAGGCGCCGUGUGCCGCCCCCUGGUGGCCGGAGGCCGUUACUGUCGCGGCUGAAGGGGCGUGUCCCGGUGUAUCCGCAGCGCGCCCUGGCUGCCCCCUGGUGGCCGGAGGCCGUUACUGUCGCGGCUGAGGGGGCGUCCCGGUGUAUCCGCAGCGCGCCCUGUCCCGCCAUAUACAUUCCGUGCUUUUCAAACACCCGCCGUGGGCUAAGCAUGGGACCCACGUGGGGCGGGGACACACGGCGAUAAAGAGCCAGGCCCUCGCUGCCAAGGAGCUUUCCCGUAACACCGAUGCAUCAAACAAAAGGCAGCAGUGAGGAUGCCAGAGUUCAUGGGUUUCUAGAAGACAAGUUUUCAACUGCAGAUACAAACAUCAGGACGUCAAUGUAUCUGCUAGGAGACACCCGGACAGUGUUGAGAACACAGAACCUGGAGGCUAAACCCCCAGCUUUCUAUGCCAGCUGAGAGUCUGUGGGCACAUUACUCAGCGUCUCUGAACCUCAUGCUCCUCCCCUGUGACAUGUAGAUUGCUAAACCCAUCUCACAGGGCUAUCUUCUGCAUUUAAAGAAUAAAAUAACACAUGAGGGGUC
rnacentral:lncRNA from 1 species